CCCGCUGAACUUAAGCAUAUCACUAAGCGGAGAAAAAGAAUUAACUAAGAUUGCCUCAGUAACGGCGAGUGAAGCGGCAAAAGCCCAAACUGGAAAUCCCCGCGCAUCCGUGCGGUGAAUUUGUAAUCUAGAGGACUUAAUCUCAACUGGGAGCGACGCAGAACUCCCCAGGAACGGGGGCCCAGAGAGGGUGACAGCCCCGUAUGUGGUGUCGCUCCCUAACGAGAUGGGUUCCAGGAGUCGGGUUGUUUUGAAUUGCAGCCCUAAUGCGGGGGAUAGACUUCCUCCAAGGCUAAAUAUUUAUGGGAAACCGAUAGCGAACAAGUACUGUGAAGGAAAGAUGAAAAGAACUUUGAAAAGAGAGUUAGAAGACUUGAAAUCGUUGAGAAGGAAGCGGUAGAAAUUUAUUCUUCUGGUGUUAACCAAGUGUUCCCCAUUCGUAUUGUGGCCUCCCCGUACGUAAAAGGCGGGUGGCUCCACGUGCGGUUGGGAUUGCGGAGUUUGCACCGGUGAGGCAAAAUGGGGUGUCGCUCCCACAUAAGCUGUUCGAGCCUGGCUUUACGGCAGUUCGUGCGUGCUCGUGGGCGCGGCGCCUGAGGAUGCUUUGUGCGAUUUUGCCAAAAUGGUUUUUACCGACCCGUCUUGAAACACGG
rnacentral:rRNA from 1 species